GAGGAAGUUAAGGAUAUGAGGAAUUGCCGUCAGGAUCAGAGAUCAUCACUACGAAGAGCAAAACAGGCCACUUGCCCACCUUGACAGAGCUGGUAAGUGGCAGAGCCAGGACCAUCCAGACGGCUCAGCUUCCAAGCCAGCAAGCCUCAUCGCCAUGCAGUUUGUCCCCAGGGAGGAAGGAUGCUUCUGGUCCCAGGGUCCAGGAUGCUCUACCCUCCUUCCUCUAGGAUAUCCAGGGGGCCAGCUUUAGUGAGAGGAGAGUGCAUGGUCCAGCCUUCUGGGGGCACCCAGAGUGUCCCCUUCCACUCCCAGCUUCCCACUUCUGCUCCACUGUCUCCCUGCAGGAGGCUCUGGGAAGGCAGAGAUGGAGCUGUGGUCCCCACCGCCUUCUGUGGCAGCUCACUUUCAUUCAUUUUCUUUAAAUGCUUCUCACUCUCUGUUUUUAAAUCUAAUUUUUCAGCUUCUUUUUCAUCUUCAUUCAAGUUGCUUUAAUGAAACGAAAAUGUGUCUGUUUCCCUCUGCUGGAGCUGCCCGGGGAAUUUCAAUAUAAAACAAACAAGU
rnacentral:lncRNA from 1 species